rnacentral:rRNA from 1 species
ACGAAUAUAAGUUCAAACUUAGGGCCCUACGAUCCCAAAAAUGCCCCCUUGCCCUAAGAUCUAGUCAAUGAAGGUACAACUCCAUUGACAGAGGAGACAGCCCAAACCAGAGAGAAAGCCCCACAUUUUUUCCCGUGGGCCUCAAAAAGCCACCGCAAAACAGAACGUUAAAGUACCAACAAUUAAAAUACUAACAACACAUACAACCUCCUGGCCCCCCACCAGCCACUCUAUAAACAUAGAAGAGAUGAUGCUAAAACUAGUAACAAGAAAAAUUCUCCACGAACAAACCUCUACCCUUACAGACCAAACCCGGCAAUAUGAAAUGUAUUUCACACACCAUUUUUAUUACUGUAAAACCAACCCAGGGUUGUUCACGGAGACUCGCAGCCAGAAAAGGAACUCGGCAAACAAUUUUUCCAACUGUUUACCAAAAACAUAGCCUUUAGCCACCCUACAGUAUUAAAGGUAACGCCUGCCCAGUGAGGACCCACCCUUUAACGGCCGCGCUUAAUACCGUGCAAAGGUAGCAAAAUAUUUGUCCUCUAAAUAGGGACCAGCAUGAAUGGCAACAUGAGAAAACCCCUGUCUCUUCUAGCUAGUCAGUGAAAMUGACUGCCUGUUCAAAAGCAGGCAUAAAAAAACAAGACAAAAAGACCCUGUGAAACUUAAAAUGCCCGCCAACCAAAUGCCGGGCAUUUUUCGGUUGGGGCAACCAAUGAGAAAUAAACCUCAUAAAAUCACAAGGCACACAAGCCGAGUACAUCAGACGAUCCAGUACCACUGAUCAAAGAACAAAGCUACUCCAGGGAUAACAGCGCCACAUUCUUUAAGGUCCAUAUCAACAAGAAUACCUACGACCUCGAUGUUGGAUCAGGGCACCCAAAUGGUGCAGAAGCUAUUAAAGGUUCKUUGUUCAACGAUUAAAGCCCUAC